rnacentral:lncRNA from 1 species
ACCAAGCACCGUGUCCUGGUCCUCCCGCCUAUGUGUGGAGCCUCCCAUCCCCCUUGGACAGGCCCAAGCAAGGCUUCUCAAAGCGCCGUCCCUUUGCCCUAGCUGUUUGCUCCAGCAUCUUUUGACUCGGGGCCGCUUCCCCACCACUGUGCAGGAGCCACUGGACCGCGUCCACCCCUGGCGGCAGCCGGCCUGGGUCCCUCUCCAUGGUCCUGUACUGGCCCCGCGUCCCGGCAGGUGCUUGCGCACUCACGCACGCACUGGGUCAAGGUCUGGGCACCAACGCGCCGGGGCGGGGGGCUUCGGAUGGAUGAUCCAUCAAAAGGACUGCCCUUUUCCUGUGUGUUCCUGCUGUUUCUAUCAUAAAAUGUGUCAACCGAGAAACGUAUAUGCUGUGUAAGGACGACAAGGGAUGCUGGAUGAGACUCACUCCUGCUGCUCUCUAGAAUCAGGAGCCAGGCCAGCUGGGCGCUGACCCCUUUCCUUCCCUCCAACCGCAGACGGCCCCAGGUCAGAGCGGCCACACCCUGACAUGCCGUCCGGCAACGUGACCAUCAGGAGCCCAGACUCACCACGAGGUCAUCGCAGGAGCGAGGGCAGGGAGGGCCACAGGCGCUGUACUCCGCCCCUUCGAUGGCGGGAGAAGAGGCCGGGAAGUGGUGUCCACCACACAGAAGAGGAACCCGAGGGUCUGGGAAGUAAAGCAAGUUGCCCUACGUCCCACAUGGAGUUCAUGAGUGACCAAGGAUUCUGACCCAGCCUCCCCGCCAAUUCCACUCUCCACGAGCUCCCUGNNNNNNNNNNNNNNNNNGCUGCCCUCUGUCCCAUGGUUUUAUUGCCUUGAUAAAAAGAAUUUGCCUUUUUAAACUUUAUUCCAUUUAUGUUUAUUAAACACUGUAGAGAUGGUUUUGAGUGACUCUUCCAGGCCAGUUAGGAGCUACUCAGAAGGAGUAAAUACUAGUUUGAGUCUCCUGGAUUUCUCUUUUGAAGUUUUCCUCCUUUUUGUUUUUCUCCAGUAAAUGCUUCAAAACCCACUCAUCAAAAAUGUUGACAUUUCAGAAAAAAAAAUCUAAGAGAGAAAAGGAAAACGAGAAAGGGGCAGGGUAGAGAGGAAGAAUGAAGGAGGGGAUUGAGGGAGGACCAGAGCAUAGAAAGUAAAAAGGAAGAUAAAAAUGAACUGAAUAAAGAA